CCUACGGGUGGCAGCAGUGGGGAAUAUUGGGCAAUGGAGGCAACUCUGACCCAGCAACGCCGCGUGAAUGAUGAAGGUCUUCGGAUUGUAAAGUUCUUUUCUAAGGGAAGAAGAAAGUGACUGUACCUUAGGUAUAAGCCUCGUCUAACUACGUGCCAGCAGCCGCUGUAAUACGUAGGAGGCAAGCGUUAUCCGGAAUGACUGGGCGUAGAGGGUGCGUAGGUGGUUCAGCAAGUUAGUAGCGUAACUCCGGGGCUCAACCUAGGCACUACUACUAAAACUGUUGGACUUGAGUGCAGGAGGGGAAAGUGGAAUUCCUAGUGUAGCGGUGGAAUGCGUAGAUAUUAGGAGGAACACCAGUGGCGAAGGCGAGUUGCUGGACUGUAACUGACACUGAGGCACGAAAGCGUGGGGAGCAAACAGGAUUAGAUACCCUGGUAGUC
rnacentral:rRNA from 1 species